AUCAAAAGUUUGGUAAAAAUGUUUAUGUAUGAAAAAUAAUUUUUGAUCUAUAUAUUUUCUCUAUACAUACUAUAAUUAUUCGAUGAAGUGUGUCCAAUUGACCUAUCAUUCACUACAUGUCAUGACAUAUAAAUACCAACAAGGUCAAAGAGAUGGUUUGUGUAGAAAAGGAAAUGAGGAAAACUUGGCUCUGGUUCAACUUCAAUAGUUCAUUUCUUCUUCCUACCAAGAGCUUCAACUUCAAGAACUCAUUUUUAUUUUCAUCUAAAUGCAGUUCUCUUAAUGUUAGAAACAAAGGGAGUAGAAGUGGAUUGGUGAAUCUUUACAAGGAUAUGGAGGCUUGUGCAGGAUACAAUGAUAUACAAGUUAUGUGGGAGAUGAUUCACUCCAAUGUCAAUGAAACCAAAUGCAAGAAAAAGCCUCUUUGUUGGAGAUUUCUUAACAAAAUUAGAGUUUAAUACAUAUAGAAUGUGCUUGUUUCUUUCUCAAAGGAAUUCAGACCUCAUUAAGUAUAAGUCCGACACAAGUGAUACGAGUUUGCUUAGACAUCAUCAAGUUUUUUUGAUUAUGUCCUCUGUUCCAUCAUUGUGCAUUGGAUGGACGAUGAGGGCUAUAGUUGGUGGAGUCACAUAUAAGUCAUAAGUGGAAUGGAACUUUUGAAUUGUGGGUACAUGAUCCUUCCUUUAAAUGUGAGAUGACCUAUUGCUCUUGCAAUUUGGGAUCCUCAUUUUGAUCAUCAAUAUUUGACUUCUUCUUUAA